CCGAACCUCGCAGGGCACCGCGCCCCGCCCGAUGCAGCGCCGGGAGCCGAGGAGCAGCGCGUGCCGGCGGAGCAUCGCGGGGACCGACAACCACGGCCCGGCCCCGCAGCGCCCCUCGGUGCGCAGAGAGCCGCGGUAAUUGGCAUCCAGAGCCGCGGGCCGGCACGGCGGGACCAUCAGCAAGAGCCGCUACCGACCGGGCUGCUCGCUCUGCAUUAGGGAUGAACACACGCCCAGCACCUCGCACGGAGCCGGCACCGUGUGUGCCUCAAUCACCGCCUGGGGGUACAGCGGGGAUCGUCACACGGGGGUACUUACGUGCACGUAGACGGCUUUGAUAAUAAAACCAUUUGUGUACCGAAUGUCAGCGUAGACCUUCAACCACUGUUGAAGCUCUGUGGCUGUGGGAUUCUGUCCGAUAGUUUGUCGAUCACCCCAUUUUUGCAUGAGUUUCACGUUCCACAGCGGUGGAAUAGUUCAGAUCUUCGUUUGAAAAGCUGCCAUCGUGGAUGUUAGCAGGUACAAUAGUGGAGCUCACCAAGCACCGGGGGGAAAAAGAAGCAUUUUCCCUUGUGCCCAGGACGGCAGACCAGCAGGCAGCAGUGACUUCCUGUGCUCUGGAGUUUUAAUGUCAGCACUUCUGGUUACUUAUAGACAGCUGCGACUGCAGGCAAAAAGAGUUCUCUGCACACGAUAAACCAAACAUGAGGAAUAAGCUGUUAGCAGUGCCCACAGAUGAGACUUCAGGAAGUCGUUUGUUGCUCCAUCUGAUGCAUAAGCUUGUUAAGAAACAGCACUUUAUAGGAAGAGGUUCAGUACCUCCAUGGCAGCCCAGAAGGUUGACAGUAAUGGGGCAAUCCCUUGGGGUUUAAAGGAGAUUAUGUCUCAUACAGUCAGCGAGGACCUACUUAAGUCAGGUCCCAUACACAAGCUGAUCCUCUAUUGGCAGUUCUUUGUAUACUUUCAUUGCAGAAUACAACAAAACCAAGAGAAGUGGAUGAAGUAAUGGUUACACCACGUCUUCUAUGGCGUGUGCAAUUCUUAGUCACCUCAUUCACAAAACAAUAAGUUCAAACUGAAGCGAGUACAGAUAUGGCAAGAAGGGCAGUGAAGGAUACAGAAUGCAUUCCAGAGACAACACACCAAUGGAUGAGAGCUCCAGCAUAGACAAGAGCCAGCUCAGGAUGGAAGCGACAGUUUGAAGCAGCCAGAUGGCAUUCAGAAAUAACAAAGACGAACUAAAACACAGCCACCACUGAAUGAAAGUAGUGAAUGAUGGGCUUACAAAGACAAAGCUUUUUUUUAAGCUUUUUAAUAUAUUUUUGUUCCAAUUAAGUUUUAAGGCUCUGUCUGAGGAUGUGAGAAGAUUUGAUGAUUCUUAAAGCUGGAGAAUGCUUUUGUUGGAAAACACUCCAUUGUUGCACGAGGUUUUCAGUACAAGGGACUUAUUUACCUUUUCCCCUUUCCUCGGGAGGUCCACCUGGAGCAUCCAUUUCCCUGGGGUCAGAGGUCCCUGGUCCAUCAUGCCAGGGACGUUUACGUGGUGGCAGUGAGGCCAUGUCCAUGCCCUGGAGCGAAGAAGAACGUUCUCGGUUAGCUGGAGAAUGUCCAUCGUGAGGAGGGUGGUCUGGACGAGGACCUGAUGGAUUCUGGCUUCCGCCCACCUUCAAAGCGUGGAAUUUCAUCGGGGGUAGGAAGCAGACCCUUCCGGCCUCCUGAGCAGCACCAGAUGCAUGGAGAGGAGUGAGAAGAGACAUUGCAUUUGUGAAACUUGUUGCUGUUUGCCCAAGAAACGCCCUUGCUACCUUCUCCUUUUAUUUCCCUGUAGAAGAAUGUUCCCCUCACCUCUAAUUGCACCGCGACCUCGGCCCCGAGCACUGUGGUCCCUUCCUCUCAAGUUUUCAUCUGGGGAGUCAAAAGUGUCAUCUGGCCCAAAAUCUUCCGGACCAGGAAAGCCAUCUCUCCCCCUGGGUCCCCGGCCCUCGUGUCUCGAGGGUCCUCCUCUUCUGAAGCUACAAGAAAGAACAUGGUACACCUUUAGACAAGGUUUACAUCGAUAAACUCGUGACAGUUGAUUAUUAAGCUGUUUUCUGAACCAUUUCACAUAACGCUACAGCACAUACAAGGAUCAGAAUAGGAUUUGUGGGUGGAAAAGUGCUCACUGUCCGUCUCUGAGCACUUUGCUUAUCUGUUUGAAGAGUUUCCCCCUCAUUUCCUUCUGUUGCGUUGGCUUUUUUUCAUACAAAAAAUACUGACAAGUAGGUUUGCAUUCAUUUAACAAAAAGGAAAAAAUAAAAACAGUGAGAUAGAUAUAAGGCAAGGUAAGGAGAAGGACAAGUGAAUUUCCCUUAGCUGCAGUGCUCUUGCUCUAAGGGAUUACAAACGAAGCAGGAAACAUAAAAGCAGUGAGAGUCAAGGCUAUAGUGAAACGCUUCAGCAUCGCAUUCCUAUGGAUUUGGGAGUCUCUCGCUAGAACAUUCUCUUACUUGUUCCCUCCAUAGAGGACCUUUUCUUUUUUAAGUUUUUGAUGUUGAGAAAUGAUUCUAGGCUGUACUUGGCUCAGCGGGGAUGAUGGCUGCUGAGCAGUGUGCACGGUGGCUUUCUACAACCCCAACAGCAGUUUCUCCAUCUGCAGUAAACGAAGAGCUCUGUUUUGCCAAACGUAGCAGUGCCCCUCACGUCAGUCAUUUCUACUCCUAGUCAGUACCAUGGCACCUUCAGUAACUGGAUGCGAUUGGCUUUUGCAUCUCGUCUGAACUGAGUACAGCUCCUCCAGUUAGCACAUUGGGCUCUUAGCACAGAUCUUCAGAGGGAAGAAUGCUUCUGUCUUAGCUGCCAGUGCCAUUCCAGGUCUGUCUCCACCUCCCAGAAAACAAACACGGUACAGAGAGGAGGCUGCUGUGCCUGUAUAGGUACAACAGUGGAUGGAGGGAGUGCUGCAUAUGGACAAUGAACCAUUUCACAUUAACCUGGGUGAUUUGUGGAAACAAACUGAACAGUUUCAGGUACAAAUGGUUCAAAUAACCACAUUGCAAUGUUGUUUAGCCUUGAGACAGCACAGUCCUCUCGAUAUAUUCCUUAGAGGGUCUCCCAUUUUAAUACUGACUUGGUGAGAUUCUGCUUAGCUUGUAAAUUACCAAGAUUUGCAACACAAGAUCCUAUGGCUACCAGGAGGAGGACCUUUCUCUCUGUGUUUCCAGGCAACCUUAUGGACAAAGUUUAGCUUUGCAAUCUAUUAUAUCUAUGCCUGAUAAAGCCACAGCUCCUAAUAUUGGGUUAUGUAUAUCCUUUUUCACUUUUUCUCAUCAGUCACACGUAAAAACCCUGCCUUGCAUAGGGCUCAGUUCCUGUUUGACUGCACUCAUCUUCUUCCUUGAGGCCUAGGACCUUAACGUACAGAACUACACACUGUGCAGAUUAGCAGCAGGAAGAGGCAGGUCUCUGCAGUAGAAGCAUCGUGUUGAUAUGCACAGGUAGAGUGAGAACAGGACAGAGAUGAAAAGGAUGGGAAAUUAGAGAGAAAAACAUACACACACUUCCCUCUCACGUUUUUGAUCAAACCAAUUACAAUGUAAAUUCCAAACCAAGUCAGCUAAGUGAGCAGUUGCAAUUCUUAGGCUCAUUUCAGCAUCUGCAUGGCAUCCAAUUCACCUUCCCUCAGAGGAAACCACUAAGCAUGCAAGCACAAUAAGCCUUUUAGAGCCCUAUGACGAUGAUUCUCCAGCUAACCAGUCUGUACAAACACUCACACUGUGACAGACCCUCGUUAGCUCAGAAGUCAGACUCCCAUGUCCUAAGAUGCCUGGACUUUCCUCCUGAAACCUCUGUAAAAUCAGGAUAAGAAUAAAAUAUUCCCCAGUCCCUAAA